GACAGUUUCGCCGAGUGGUCUAAGGCGCUAGCUUUAGGCGCUACUCCGAAAGGGCUCGAGUUCGAAUCUCGUAGCUGUUA
rnacentral:tRNA from 1 species